GCGGAAAUUUAAAAAAAGGGUCCGAUCCUUAAGAGGUUGCAUUAGCAUUACAUAGUCAAAAAAGGGAAUUGUUAACACUUUCCUUAUAAUUUAAGAUAUCAAUGCCAAACUUAACAUGGUUCAACCAAUCUAUGCUUGAGUUAUUUGACCAUGUCAAAUAAUAAUAAUAGAACUCAGACAAUAACAACAGGUAUUCACAGGUAUGCUGUGAACCCCAAAUUAUAUGCACAGCAUAACCUCAGAAUCUCUGUGGUACACAGCAAUAUAUUGUGCCAGAAUCAAAAUAUCCUUCAUUCAGAGAGAAUCCAUUCAAAGUCAUUCAGGUCAAAAGUGAGAUGAUGCAUGCAAUGUUAGACUUGUGCAUUGGUUUGAUGUGACAUGCUGACAGACCCAUACCUUUGACCUUUGGGCCAAACACUAAACCGCUUCCAAACACGUGUCCUUUGAACAAUCACAGAACAUACAGCAUGUGGUAAUGUUUAGGUAUCAACGUUAUCAGGUAAUGUGACCCAUGUAACAAUCUGAAAGCCAUUGACUUUCAUUGGCAAUUUGUUCAAUUAAUUAAUGUACUGGAACUUCAUAUAACUUAUUAAAUUCACUGAAUUCAAAUGGAGUUAACCAGCCCUGUUGAUGAGUGUGUAAAGUCCUGCUCACCAGAGUCCAUGAGGAUGUGGCAAAGGGUGUGUUAGGCCCGCAGGUACACUCUUAGAAAAAAAGGUGCUAUCUAGAACCCUAAAAGGGUUCUUCUGCUGCCCCAUAGGAGAACCCUUUGAAUAUUUUAUGGUUCCAGGUAGAACCCUUUUGGGUUCCAUUUAGAAGCCUUUCCACAAAUGGUUCUACAUGGAACCCAAAACGGUUCUACCUGGAACCAAAAAGGGUUAUCCUAUGGGGACAGCCAGUGAACCCUUUUGGAACCCUUUUUUCUAAGAGCUUGGGGCUUAGAAGUUCUCCACUGGACAGGUGCUGGACCAAGACGUCCGGAGGAACUAUCAUCUCUGGUAUCUCAUCCAACGAAAAGCCCGGGGGCAUCUUUAAACCCUUGGUUGCUUUGAGGAGGUGGUUUCCCAGUGCUGACCAGUGUUUCUGUGUCCUCCUCCUCGUCAUCAGCCUGUCCCUACUCAGAGCCCCUCCCACCCUGGGCUGCACGUUCAGCACCUUGCAGCUCUACUGCUGAAACAUCCUGUUGGGAAUGUAAUGUCACAUCACCAGGACCCUGGGCGCCUCGAUCAGGACGCUGCAUGACGAUGACAGGGACCAUGACAACAUCAAGACAGCAUGUCAAACAAUGUUUAUGGCCAAGUUUUAGUCAAGCUAUAAUGACUUUGGUUGGUCUGUCAACAGAACGCACAUGCUUGACCCUCUGAAUUUAGUGCCAGAACAGAUAUAACUAUUAUAUAUUGAUUCAAAUUUGCAUGAAGUAAGAUACUAUGCCAGUGUGGCCGUUCCUGCAUGUUUCUCAGAUCCUGCAGCAGAGACACACGAAUCUCGCUGGAAGACUAGAAGAGAAACAAAAAGAAUGGUAAUGAUUGAAAAUCCCAUAUCAUUAUCCUAAUCAAUGGCAAGAUGGGCCAUAGAGGUUUUACUUGUAUUCAAGUAAUUGACAGAUUUGCAUAUAAUUAUUGCUAUGGGUUUCAUUAAAAGGUGUUACUGGCUAAUCUUGGCUACCUCAAUGAUAUGAAGCAUGUUGGGUACAGCAAAAGCAGGCUUGUGAUAGUGUCACCUUGGUAAUACCUCUGCAAGCACUGGUUCAGCUCCUUGUAGUCUACUGCACAACCAAAGGAGAAAGAACGUAAGGUUAAUUGCGUAACCCUGGUUCUACGAUAACAGAGUGAAUAAGCUUUAUUGCAUGCAUUAUAUUCAGUUUUUUAGUUUAGAGUGUCUUCAAUCUGUGGGAGACAAAAGGCCUACACCAUAAUGUCCUUUCUUCUCAUUUGCAGACCUAGGUGUGACAGCCAUAAAGUGGCCCAUAACAAGGAACUUGUUAGAGUAACCCCAAUAAGGAUCAUUCAAAAUUGGAGUAACUGUUGAAGGCUUUUUCUAACAAGAGGAAGUUGUAGAGGAAGUAUGUCUCAACCUCAGAGACUCAUAAACACAUUAUAAAGAAUUUUGAACAUUGAUUUUGAUUUGACAUAUCAGCUAUAAACAAAACCGUGCUUAGGAGGAGGAAGAGAAACCUGCAUUAAUGUACAGAGAAGACUUAUAUCAGUGAAAGAGUGAUGCCUUCUAAUCUGCCCUGGGAUGCACACCCUCUUUGUCCUAAUAGCUCUUAAAUGUGUUCUACAGUAGCGUUUGGCUGACCUCCCAGGUCUCUCCUGUCAUUGAGUUGCUGGGGGAGGCUGGCAACGACCAUCAACCGGUGUAACAGGAACUUCUGGAGAGGCAGAAAAUAAUGGUAUUAAGGUAUCUGAUGA
rnacentral:lncRNA from 1 species